rnacentral:rRNA from 1 species
AGUGAACGCUGGCGGUAGGCCUAACACAUGCAAGUCGAACGGCAGCACAGUAAGAGCUUGCUCUUACGGGUGGCGAGUGGCGGACGGGUGAGGAAUACAUCGGAAUCUACUUUUUCGUGGGGGAUAACGUAGGGAAACUUACGCUAAUACCGCAUACGACCUACGGGUGAAAGCAGGGGAUCUUCGGACCUUGCGCGAUUGAAUGAGCCGAUGUCGGAUUAGCUAGUUGGCGGGGUAAAGGCCCACCAAGGCGACGAUCCGUAGCUGGUCUGAGAGGAUGAUCAGCCACACUGGAACUGAGACACGGUCCAGACUCCUACGGGAGGCAGCAGUGGGGAAUAUUGGACAAUGGGCGCAAGCCUGAUCCAGCCAUACCGCGUGAGUGAAGAAGGCCCUCGGAUUGUAAAGCCCUGUUGUUGGGAAAGAAAAGCAGCAGGUUAAUACCCCGCUGUUCUGACGGUACCCAAAGAAUAAGCACCGGCUAACUUCGUG